UAUCACUAAGCGGAGGAAAAGAAACUAACGAGGAUUCCCUCAGUAGCGGCGAGUGAAGCGGGAAGAGCCCAUCGCUGAAUCCCCGGACCCGACCGGGCUCGGGGAGUUGUGGCGUGAGGCGGCUUCGGGCGCGCGAGUCCACGACGCCGAGGUCCUCCUGAUCGGGGCGCCUCAACCCAGAGCGGGUGUCAGGCCCGUUCAGGCGUCGGGUCUCUCGGGCCUGGAGCCACCACGAGUCGGGUUGUUUUGGAAUGCAGCCCAAAGAGGGGUGGUGAACUCCAUCCAAGGCUAAAUACUGGCACGAGACCGAUAGCAGACAAGUACCGUGAGGGAAAGUUGAAAAGAACUCUGAAGAGAGAGUUCAAGAGGACGUGAAACCGCCAAGAAGCAAACGGGCAGGACCCGCGGCACGGGCCCGUGGAGAUUCAGCGCGCCCGCUGUCGUUCCGGUCGGCAUCGCGGAUCCGUCCAGGACCGCGGUCGGCCGGGCGGCGGCAGUUGGGCGCGUGCACUUCUCCCGGGCGCGGCGCUCGGGACCGGCAGCCCAGGCCGGCCGAAGGCGACCGUGCAGGUAGCUCCGGCGUUCUCGUUCUCUCUCGGGGAGGGACUCCGACGGAGAACUAAUAGCGCGGCCGAUUCGUCGCCGGUCGAGCUGCCGUGGAAGGGACGCGAGCCGCGCCCGCUCCGGUUCCUCUGGGACUGGGGCUGCGUCUACCGUGCCCCCGCAGGCCUCCCGGAUGCGCACUGCUCUCAGUCCGCGUCUAGGGACGGCAGGCGGUCGGGCUGCGGCUUAGACGGCAACGUGGCGCCUCGGGUCGCCGAGCGAAGCUGGGCGCCUGCUCGACCCGUCUUGAAACACGGACCAAGGAGUCUAACGGGCCCGCGAGUCACGGGGCCAUUCACGAACCCCCCAGGCGCAAUGAAGGUGAAGGUCGAUUCGGUCGGCCGAGGUGGGAUCCCUCUCCGGUGGGAGGGGGCGCACCACCGCCCCGCCAUAUCCGCUCUGCUCGGUGUGGCGGAGGUAGAGCGGGCACGCUAGGACCCGAAAGAUGGUGAACUAUGCCCGAGCAGGAUGAACCUGAGGAAACUCUGGUGGAGGUCCGCAGCGAUUCUGACGUGCAAAUCGAUCGUCCGACUUGGGUAUAGGGG
rnacentral:rRNA from 1 species